GAUGAACGCUGACAGAAUGCUUAACACAUGCAAGUCUUUGGCGAAUCUGUGCUUGCACAGGCUAGCCAAGGCGGACGGGUGAGUAACGCGUAAAGAACUUGCCCUGCAGACAGGGAUAACAGACGGAAACGACUGAUAACACCCGAUACAGUUGCCGGCACGCAUGUGCCUGGCAAUGAAAAGAGAUGCUGCAGGAGAGCUUUGCGUCCUAUUAGCUUGUUGGUGAGGUGACGGCUCACCAAGGCGAUGAUAGGUAGCCGGCCUGAGAGGGUGAACGGCCACAAGGGGACUGAGAUACGGCCCUUACUCCUACGGGAGGCAGCAGUGGGGAAUAUUGGACAAUGGGGGCAACCCUGAUCCAGCAAUUCUGUGUGCACGAAGAAGGUUUUCGGAUUGUAAAGUGCUUUCAGCAGGGAAGAAGAAAGUGACGGUACCUGCAGAAGAAGCGACGGCUAAAUACGUG
rnacentral:rRNA from 1 species